AACGAACGCUGGCGGCAUGCCUAACACAUGCAAGUCGAACGAGAUCUUCGGGUCUAGUGGCGCACGGGUGCGUAACGCGUGGGAAUCUGCCCUUUGGUUCGGAAUAACAGUUGGAAACGACUGUUAGUACCAGAUGAUGACGAAAGUCCAAAGAUUUAUCGCCAGAGGAUGAGCCCGCGUAGGAUUAGCUAGUUGGUGUGGUAAAGGCGCACCAAGGCGACGAUCCUUAGCUGGUCUGAGAGGAUGAUCAGCCACACUGGGACUGAGACACGGCCCAGACUCCUACGGGAGGCAGCAGUGGGGAAUAUUGGACAAUGGGCGAAAGCCUGAUCCAGCAAUGCCGCGUGAGUGAUGAAGGCCUUAGGGUUGUAAAGCUCUUUUACCCGGGAUGAUAAUGACAGUACCGGGAGAAUAAGCUCCGGCUAACUCCGUGCCAGCCGCCGCCGUAA
rnacentral:rRNA from 1 species